rnacentral:rRNA from 1 species
ACGGGAGGCAGCAGUAGGGAAUAUUGCACAAUGGGGGGAACCCUGAUGCAGCAACGCCACGUGUGGGAAGAAGCAUUUCGGUGUGUAAACCACUGUCGUGAGGGAAUAAUGCUUGAUUUCGGUCAAGUUGAAUGUACCUCGAAAGGAAGCACCGGCAAACUUCGUGCCAGCAGCCGCGGUAAUACGAGGGGUGCAAGCGUUGUUCGGAAUCACUGGGCGUAGAGGGAGCGUAGGCGGAGACGCAAGCAGUCUGUACAAUACCGGGGCCCAACCCCGGACCUGCAGACUGGACUGUGUCUCUUGGAUAGUUCAGGGGCAGGCGGAAUUCCUGGUGUAGCGGUGGAAUGCGUAGAGAUCAGGAAGAACACCGAUGGCGAAGGCGGUUAGCUGGACAAUAACUGACGCUGAGGCGCGAAAGCGUGGGUAGCAAACAGGAUUAGAUACCCUGGUA